UAGGGGAUCGCAAGACCUUGCGCUAAAGGAGCGGCCGAUGUCUGAUUAGCUAGUUGGUGGGGUAAAGGCUUACCAAGGCAACGAUCAGUAGUUGGUCUGAGAGGACGGCCAACCACACUGGGACUGAGACACGGCCCAGACUCCUACGGGAGGCAGCAGUGGGGAAUUUUGGACAAUGGGCGAAAGCCUGAUCCAGCCAUGCCGCGUGAAUGAAGAAGGCCUUCGGGUUGUAAAGCUCUUUUAGUCGGAAAGAAAGAAUUGCAAUGAAUAAUUGUGAUUUAUGACGGUACCGACAGAAAAAGCACCGGCUAACUACGUGCCAGCAGCCGCGGUAAUACGUAGGGUGCGAGCGUUAAUCGGAAUUACUGGGCGUAAAGGGUGC
rnacentral:rRNA from 1 species